rnacentral:rRNA from 1 species
GACGGAAGGUGCAAGCGUUGCUCGGAAUCACUGGGCGUAAAGGGCGCGUAGGCGGCCUGCUAAGUCGGACGUGAAAUCCCUCGGCUCAACCGGGGAACUGCAUCUGAUACUGGAUGGCUUGAGAUUGGGAGAGGGAUGCGGAAAUUCCAGGUGUAGCGGUGAAAAUGCGUAGAUAUCGGGAGGAACACCAGGUAGCGAAGGCGGCACUCUGGGCCGGUACUGACGCUGAGGAGCGAAAAGCGUGGGGGAGCCGAACAGG